GGGUGGGUCCAGCGCGGCGGAAACCUUCGAAUUGUGUCAGGUCCGAGAGGAAGCAGCACUAAGGAGGAUUUUCUGGGUGUCGCUGGGAUGCCUAUCUAAC
rnacentral:SRP_RNA from 1 species